GUGGGGAAUAUUGGGCAAUGGGGGGAACCCUGACCCAGCGACGCCGCGUGGGUGAAGAAAUCCUUCGGGAUGUAAAGCCCUGUUGUAUGGGAAGAGCGGAAGACGGUACCAUACGAGGAAGCCCCGGCAAACUACGUGCCAGCAGCCGCGGUAAUACGUAGGGGGCAAGCGUUGUCCGGAAUUACUGGGCGUAAAGCGCACGCAGGCGGCGUCGUAAGUCGGUCUUAAAAGUGCGGGGCUUAACCCCGUGAGGGGACAGAAACUGGUAUUCUUGAGUGUCGGAGAGGAAAGUGGAAUUCCAAGUGUAGCGGUGAAAUGCGUAGAGAUUUGGAAGAACACCAGUGGCGAAGGCGACUUUCUGGACGAAAACUGACGCUGAGGCGCGAAAGCCAGGGGAGCGAACGGGAUUAGAAACCCUGGUAGUCC
rnacentral:rRNA from 1 species